UUCUCGAAUUUAAAAGAGUUAUUUUUUUUAUUGUAAUAAAUAUUAAUAAUAUGAAAUGAAAUGUUAAUUUAUCUAGUUUUUUAAGAAAGUUUAAUUUUUUUAUAUUUUUAGGGAUGAGCUUGGAGUAGGAUUAGAAAUUUUGUUAUAAUUAUCUUAUUAAAAUAAAGAUUUGAAUUUUUCUAGAAAAAAUGAUUUAAUUAGUAUAAGGUUAGGCUAAGGAAUUCGGCAAAUAUUUUUCACCUGUUUAUUAAAAACAUGGCCUUUUGAUAAUAAUUUAAGGUCUAGUCUGCCCGCUGAGGCUGCGGUAUUUUGACCGUGCAAAGGUAGCAUAAUAAUUAGUUUCUUAAUUAGGAGCUGGAAUGAAUGGCUGGAUGAAAAAAAAACUGUCUUUGUUUAAUAUAAUUUUAUUUUUAAGUUAAAAAGCUUAAAUUUCAUUAAAAGACGAGAAGACCCUAUAGAGUUUUACUUUAGUUGGGGUGAUUAAAAAAUUUAAAAAACUUUUGAUUAUAAGAAUAAAUUACCUUAGGGAUAACAGCGUUAUUUUUCUUAGAGUUCUUAUCGAAAGAAAAGUUUGCGACCUCGAUGUUGGAUUAAAAUUAAUAUUGGUGUAGAAGCU
rnacentral:rRNA from 1 species